rnacentral:rRNA from 1 species
AUACGUAGGGGGCGAGCGUUGUCCGGAAUGAUUGGGCGUAAAGGGCGCGUAGGCGGCCUGUUAAGUCUGGAGUGAAAGUCCUGUUUUCAAGAUGGGAAUUGCUUUGGAUACUGAUGGGCUUGAGUGCAGGAGAGGUUAUCGGAAUUCCCGGUGUAGCGGUGAAAUGCGUAGAGAUCGGGAGGAACACCAGUGGCGAAGGCGGGUAACUGGACGGCAACUGACACUGAGGCGCGAAAGUGUGGGGAGCAAACAUGAUUAGAUACCCUGUUAGUCCACGCCGUAAACGAUGAAUACUAGGUGUAGGGGGUAGCGACCCCUUCUGUGCCGCAGUCAACACAAUAAGCAUUCCGCCUGGGGAGUACGGCCGCAGGGUUGAAACUCAAAGGAAUUGGCGGGG